rnacentral:ncRNA from 1 species
GAUUAUAGGGUCAUUGCUUGGUGAUGCUCGGCUUGAAUGCCGAUCUAAAGGAAUACGAGCGAGUUAUACUGCUCGAUUAAGAGUGCAUCAUGGGGAAAAACAGAAAGAUUACGUUAAUUGGAAAUACCAAACAUUGAAAGAUUUGGUUUCUCGGGAACCACAAGAAAUAAAGUGGCACAAUGAGAAAAGAAAUCUGAAUGAAGUAUCCUGGUUUUUUCACACUAAAACUCUAAAAAGUUUUGGAGUUAUACACGAAAUCUUCUACAAAAGUGGUAAGAAAGUCUUCCCAAAAGAGAUUCUAUCAAUCUUCACUGAUGCGAUGCUUGCAGUUUGGUUUAUGGAUGAUGGGUCAAAUAAUGGCAAUAACUUAACAUUAAAUACCCAUUCUUUCUCCAUUGAAGAUCAACAUACGAUAAUUGAUUUUCUGAAGGAGAAAUAUUCUAUAAAUCCAAAACUUGUUAAAGAUAGGCAUCAAUGGAGAAUCGCUAUUGGAUCCUUUGACUAUCAAAGAUUCAUAGAUACGAUCACUCCAUACAUACCAAAAGCAAUGUCUUAUAAGAUUAACAAUCCCCGUAUCGACUUGCUCUCUGGAAAGAGGGCAGAGCCUGCGACUUUAGUCGGGGCUAACACGUCAGUUUCAGGAUAGGAAAAUCUUGAAAAAGGUAUAGUCAGUACCAUUAGUAAUAAUGAAAUAAGAACGUCAGACCGUUUAGAUUGCGAAUAAUCGUAAUCUGAACAGUCUGAAUCAAUCGAACUGUUAAAAUUUUCGUUUAUGAAAAGAUACAAAAAGGUGAACUAACCUAAAUCACGGCGGUCUCUUGUAGAAAUACAAGAGUACGAAACUGAUUAAUAUCGGUAAAACCCCAUGUGGGUAAUACCGAGGGAAAUUCGCAAGAAUACCCGUAGAGACUAAACAUCAGAUGUCUUAACUCGAAUAGAGAAAGAUAAAGUUAUAGUCCAUUCCUUACAGUAAUGUAAGAAAAGAAGCGUGAGACAGGUUGGACUCCUAUCUACUGCAGGCGUUCGAUUCUUGAGGGGAUUUGACUCUAGUACGAGAGGACCGAGUUGAACCGACCACUGGUGUGUCUGCUGUCCUGCCAAGGGCAUUGCAGAGUAGCUAAGUCGGGAACGGAUAAAUUCUGAAAGCAUCUAAGAAUGAAGCCAACCCCAAGAUUAGGAAUCGUUGAGAGCCCUAGGAGAUGACUAGGUUGAUAGGCGCUAGGUGUAAGCAUCGCAAGGUGUUGAGCCGAGGCGUACUAAUUGCUCGAAUCCUAUUAGGAA